UACGUAGGGGGCUAGCGUUGUCCGGAAUCAUUGGGCGUAAAGAGCGUGUAGGCGGUCCGGUAAGUCCGUUGUGAAAGUCAGGGGCUCAACCCUUGAAUGCCGGCGGAUACUGUCGGGCUAGAGUCCGGAAGAGGCGAGUGGAAUUCCCGGUGUAGCGGUGAAAUGCGCAGAUAUCAGGAGGAACACCGGUGGCGAAGGCGGAUCUCUGGGCCUUACCUGACGCUGAGGCGCGAAAGCUAGGGGAGCAAACAGG
rnacentral:rRNA from 1 species